rnacentral:rRNA from 1 species
GGAAGUAAAAGUCGUAACAAGGUCUCCGUUGGUGAACCAGCGGAGGGAUCAUUACAGAGUUUACAACUCCCAAACCCAAAUGUGAACAUACCAAUCGUUGCUUCGGCGGACUCGUCCCGGCGUCCGGGUGGCCUUGCGCUGCCCGCGGCCCGGAUCCAGGCGACCGCCGGAGGCCAUCAAACUCUUUGUAUUACCAGUAUCUUCUGAAUCCGCCGCAAGGCAAAACAAAUGAAUCAAAACUUUCAACAACGGAUCUCUUGGUUCUGGCAUCGAUGAAGAACGCAGCGAAAUGCGAUAAGUAAUGUGAAUUGCAGAAUUCAGUGAAUCAUCGAAUCUUUGAACGCACAUUGCGCCCGCCAGCAUUCUGGCGGGCAUGCCUGUUCGAGCGUCAUUUCAACCCUCGAGCUCCCUUUGGGGAGCCCGGCGUUGGGGACCGGCCUCUACCGCCACCCCCGAAAUACAGUGGCGGCCCCGUCACGGCGACCUCUGCGUAGUAACUUAACCUCGCACCGGAAACCCGACGUGGCCACGCCGUAAAACACCCCACUUCUGAACGUUGACCUCGGAUCAGGUAGGAAUACCCGCUGAACUUAAGCAUAUCAAUAAGCGGAGGA